rnacentral:rRNA from 1 species
AGUGAACGCUGGCGGUAGGCCUAACACAUGCAAGUCGAACGGCAGCACAGUAAGAGCUUGCUCUUACGGGUGGCGAGUGGCGGACGGGUGAGGAAUACAUCGGAAUCUACUUUUUCGUGGGGGAUAACGUAGGGAAACUUACGCUAAUACCGCAUACGACCUACGGGUGAAAGCAGGGGAUCUUCGGACCUUGCGCGAUUGAAUGAGCCGAUGUCGGAUUAGCUAGUUGGCGGGGUAAAGGCCCACCAAGGCGACGAUCCGUAGCUGGUCUGAGAGGAUGAUCAGCCACACUGGAACUGAGACACGGUCCAGACUCCUACGGGAGGCAGCAGUGGGGAAUAUUGGACAAUGGGCGCAAGCCUGAUCCAGCCAUACCGCGUGGGUGAAGAAGGCCUUCGGGUUGUAAAGCCCUUUUGUUGGGAACGAAAAGCAGCAGGUUAAUACCCCGCUGUUCUGACGGUACCCAAAGAAUAAGCACCGGCUAACUUCGUG